CCUGGCUCAGGAUGAACGCUAGCUACAGGCUUAACACAUGCAAGUCGAGGGGCAACAUGGAGACAGCUUGCUGUCUCUGAUGGCGACCGGCGCACGGGUGCGUAACGCGUGUCCAACCUACCCACGGCUCGGGGACAGCCCAUCGAAAGAUGGAUUAAUACCCGAUGCCGUUACCUAUCUACAUGGAUUGGUAACGAAAGAUUCAUCGGCAGUGGAUGGGGACGCGUCCGAUUAGCUAGACGGCGGGGUAACGGCCCACCGUGGCGACGAUCGGUAGGGGUUCUGAGAGGAAGGUCCCCCACACUGGAACUGAGACACGGUCCAGACUCCUACGGGAGGCAGCAGUGAGGAAUAUUGGUCAAUGGUCGAGAGACUGAACCAGCCAAGUAGCGUGAGGGAUGACUGCCCUAUGGGUUGUAAACCUCUUUUGUUCGGGAAUAACGGGAGCCACGUGUGGCUCCGUGCAUGUACCGUUCGAAUAAGCAUCGGCUAAUUCCGUGCC
rnacentral:rRNA from 1 species